rnacentral:misc_RNA from 1 species
GAUGAAGAACGUAGCGAAAUGCGAUAAGUAGUGUGAAUUGCAGAAUUCAGUGAAUCAUCGAAUCUUUGAACGCACAUUGCGCCCCUUGGUAUUCCAUGGGGCAUGCCUGUUCGAGCGUCAUUUGUACCUUCAAGCUUUGCUUGGUGUUGGGUGUUUGUCUCGCCUUUGCGUGUAGACUCGCCUUAAAAUAAUUGGCAGCCGGCGUAUUGAUUUCGGAGCGCAGUACAUCUCGCGCUUUGCACUCAUAACGACAGCGUCCAAAAGUCCAUUUUACACUCUUGACCUCGGAUCAGGUAGGGAUACCCGCUGAACUUAAGCAUAUCAAUAAGCGGAGGA